rnacentral:ncRNA from 1 species
UCUUAUCAAGAGCAGGUGGAGGGACUAGCCCGAUGAUACCCGGCAACCGGCGAUUCUUCGUAAUCGCAGCGGUGCUAAUUCUUGCAGAACCGUCAGCUUCAAAACGCUGAACGGCUUCUGAGAGAUGAG